rnacentral:rRNA from 1 species
UUUAUAAUUUUGAUUAGAUAUAUUUGUUAGUGCUAUUUAAUGGGUGUGGAAAUAUUUAUAUAAAAUCUAAUAAAAUAUUAUUAUAAUAAAUUAUAUUUACAUAUUAGUCAGAAAUGGAUGCCAGCCGUUGCGGUAAUUUCUAUGCUUAAAUAUUAUACAUUUUAUCAUAAAAUAUUGUUACUUACUUUAUACUUUAGCAAAAAAAAGAAAUUCAAAAGGUAUUGUUGCCCAGGAAUUUUUAUAAUAAAAUAACGUGCAGUAAUCAAUAAUANUAUUUAUAAAAUAUAUUUU